rnacentral:tRNA from 1 species
GCAGUCGUGGCCGAGUGGUUAAGGCAAUGGACUAGAAAUCCAUUGGGGUCUCCCCUCACAGGUUCAAAUCCUGUCGACUGCG